GAUGAACGCUGGCGGCGUGCCUAAUACAUGCAAGUCGAGCGCGAGAAUGAGGAGCUUGCUCCUCAUGAUCGAGCGGCGGACGGGUGAGUAACACGUAGGCAACCUACCCUUGAGAUUGGGAUAACUACCGGAAACGGUAGCUAAUACCGGAUACGACUUUUCCACAUAAGUGGAAUUGUUAAAAGGCGGAUUUAUCUGCCGCUCAUGGAUGGGCCUGCGGUGCAUUAGCUAGUUGGUGAGGUAGUGGCUCACCAAGGCGACGAUGCAUAGCCGACCGGAGAGGGUGAUCGGCCAGAGUGGGAUCAAGCCACGGCCGAGACUCAUACGGGAGGCAGCAGUAGGGAAUCUUCCGCAAUGGACGCAAGUCUGACGGAGCAACGCCGCGUGAGUGAUGAAGGGUUUCGGCUCGUAAAACUCUGUUGUUAAGGAAGAACACUUGAGGUAGUAACUGGCCUUGAGAUGACGGUACUUAACCAGAAAGCCACGGCUAACUACGUGCCAGCCGCCGCAGUAA
rnacentral:rRNA from 1 species